UUUUUUUUUUUUUUAAUUUUUUUUAAACUUUUAUUUAUUUAUGAUAGGCACACAGUGAGAGAGAGAGAGAAGCAGAGACACAGGCAGAGGGAGAAGCAGGCUCCAUGCACCGGGAGCCCGACGUGGGAUUCGAUCCCGGGUCUCCAGGACCGCACCCUGGGCCAAAGGCAGGCGCCAAACCGCUGCGCCACCCAGGGAUCCCCCAUUUGACGUUUUUUAAGGAAUUUUAACUGGAAGUGAAAAGUAACUGUCGCCUAAUACUAAUUGUUCUGAGUUCAAAUAUUCUUCCCAAACAUUAACAUUCAAAAUAAAAAAUAACACUUAAAGAACGCUUAACAGUCUUGAUACAUUGCAUGUCUAGAUAUUUCUCUUAUUUGCAAUUUAUUCUGUAAGCACCGUGAUGGCAAAGGCUAUACGUUACCCAUCUUAGUAUCUCACAGUAAACUGAGCACUACCUAAUAUUUUUGUAUUAUGAAUGUAUUUUUGCUGCUCAAUAGAGCAAUAGAGCUCUAUAGAAGCGUAAGCUCCUGAGAGAAGAGACUUAGUCUUGGUCACUGCUAUGUAUCCCCAACAUCUGGAGGGGUGCCUGAUAGGUACAGGAGCUCAACCAACAGCUGGUGAUGAAUUAAUAACAUAUUAAUUAAAACAGUGCUAGAAAUUAGUAGGAGCUUAAAACAUUUCCUAAUGAAUGAAUAAAUGAAGUUUAAAAACCUCCCGUCUUGGGCAGCCCGGGUGACUCAGCGGUUUAGCACCGCCUUGAGCCCAGGGCCUGUAUUUUUGAGUCAAUAAAGACAUGGCUCCCACAGAGAAGAAAAAAACAAAACAAAACAAAACAAAAAACUUCCCGUCUCCUUAGAACAGAACGAGUUCAGAUGAAAUCUGCUUAUUUUGCAGGUAUGCAUGUGUAUGGGGGAGAGGUCUUUGUCAGUCUGUGCUGGUAUUUAGCUCUGUUAUGCAGAUGUACAUUUUAAAUGUUCCUUAGAUUUUAGAAUAAUCAGCAGCAUUGUUUCUUCCAAAAAUAAUGGAAAAUAAAUAAUCUGUAGUUUUAGGUUCCAUGUAGCUCAAAAUUUACUGCCAUGAAACAACGUUAUCUAUGUUUCUCAUAAACACAUUCACAUCAGUACUAUUGUUGAGAUCUUUAUAACUCCAAGAUCUAGAAAAGAAGUUAUAAAAGUUCUGAAUUUGUAACAAGUUGGCAAGAGAACGAUGGUGAUGGUUUGAUAUUACUUCACUUAAAAGAAGCUACUAGUUGUCAAUCUCAAUUAUCUGGACUAAAAUGAAAAAGUGAAAAAAAAAAAGAAAAAGAAAAAAAGCCUUUGCUUUGUCAAAGCAGCCUUUACUAAAAAGUUUGAGUAUUAAAGCCCACAGGCCUUCACCUUCACCUCACCUUCACCUUCACCUCGCUCUAGGACACAGGGCUAACCAACAGAUUCCAAAUCCAAGCACAAGUGCAAGGGGCAAACGAGAAGGGCUUGGAGGCUACUGGAGAUAGUGAGAAACAAUAUGAGAGCCAGAUAGCUAGAGGAAAGACAUAAUAUCCUUGAAAAGGAACACAAGGUGUCCACAAGCUUAGCCCUCCUAGAAUCAUUUUGGAUAAGAGCUUUUUACAGCACAGAAGUUUUUAAAGGCAUUACUCUCCUAUGCAGAAAUUCAUCAUGACCCAAAGGAAUAAAUAUAUUGAAUUUUCUCUGUGUAGGUAAGGCAAGGGACUGAUGGUUGUAUUGUACAUGUAUUUUAUUUUCAAAAUGCUUAUUUUCUUAGGAGAAAUUUCUGUCUUAGUGAGCCUUAGUGAGCACUGAGGUUUGGUCACCAUAAUUCAGUUCACUUUCAGUUCUUUAAAGGAAUCUAUUACAAACUCAAACAUGUAAAGGGAAAAUGGGACAGCCACAGGAUUGGCAUAAAAGGUAGUGUUUCAGUAUAAAAUCUGUAGUCAGUAUACCAUUCUCUAAAGAACAUUCUAUUCCAUUCUAUUCCAUUCUCAACUUUCACCUUAGUGACUCCUAAGGGAUGAAUUCUCCUCCGUCAGAAACUAAUGCUUUUCCUAGCACUCUAGGACUGUAACAUUUGCAAUAAUCCUAUGCAUCUCAACUGUCUAUAAAAACUGUUCUAUGUUAAGAUUUGCUUUCCUACAUAAUGUCCCAUUUUUCCUUUAUUUAAUUAAUAUAUGCUUGUUCUAGAAAAUACAGAUCCCACAGAAAAAUAUACUAAAAAAUUCCUCAUAUUACAUCAGCCUAAUGAUAAGCAUGUUGUGUACUUCAUAUACAUAGACAUGCACACGCAUGUUUAUAAUAUUGUGUAUAAAGUUCCGUAUUUUGGCUUUUCACUUCUUAUUUUAGCUUAUUUUUUCCACAUCACUCAAAAUUGAUUAAAAAACAUUUUAACACAUAUGAUUUUUUUGGUCAUAAAAAUAUACCAUUGACAUUGUUGAAUCAUUCCUUUCCUGUUAGAUAUUUAGGAUGUAAAAAAGGCAAGAUAUUUUGCAGCUGAAAUGCAGAGAAGUACAAAGGCUCUGGUAUCUUUGAAAGUCUGAAGCAAAGUUCUAGAUGCCCGUAUGUGUAUAUACGCAUGCGUGUAGGAAGGUUUGAGGUGGUAGGCUAAUCUGCAUGCAGCCUUGGCACAGGUGCCUUUGCUGUUGCUUCCACUGUGAUGGGGUUUCACAUGCCUCCACUCAGGUGUUGCAUACAUUAGGAAUGAUGAGAGAACCUCAGUCAUCUGCGU
rnacentral:lncRNA from 1 species